rnacentral:sRNA from 1 species
GUUUGCCUCGCUCUAAUCAGAGCUUCCAGAAACCCUGCGCUGUGGGAUAGAGGAAUGAGGUUCAGAAAGGGGCAGGGAGUUGCCCGCAGCCUCACCGCACGUCUUCAGCCCGACCGUUGUCCUGACCUCUCUGUCCCGUCCCCUGCCCAGUCUCACCAUGGCCUUCUGGACACAGCUGAUGCUGCUGCUCUGGAAGAAUUUCAUGUAUCGCCGGAGACAGCCGGUCCAGCUCCUGGUCGAAUUGCUGUGGCCUCUCUUCCUCUUCUUCAUCCUGGUGGCUGUUCGCCACUCCCACCCGCCCCUGGAGCACCAUGAAUGCCACUUCCCAAACAAGCCACUGCCAUCGGCGGGCACCGUGCCCUGGCUCCAGGGUCUCAUCUGUAAUGUGAACAACACCUGCUUUCCGCAGCUGACACCAGGCGAGGAGCCCGGGCACCUGAGCAACUUCAACGACUCCCUGUGAGCCAGAGGCAGUGGGUGCGGCUGGCCUGCAAACUCGGGGCUGCAGUGCCGGCCGGAACCCCGCCUCCUGCCCUCUCUCUGUCCCCAGGGUCUCCCGGCUGCUAGCCGAUGCCCGCACUGUGCUGGGAG